GCCGGCGAGGAGGAAGAGGAAAAGUUCUGUUGCUUUCAUUGAAACUUGUGAGGAUGUCUCUGAGAAGGAUUGCCCCACAAGGAUAGGAGCUCAGCAUGGGGUACUUGGGGUAUUCCAGAUGCCAUCCGAGUAGUGGAGAGCACUGGAUUGACAGGCUGGUUAAUCAUGAUGCCAUGUCCAGUGGAGCAUUGUCUCAAAGAAGGCUAAUACAGAACCUCAGAUUGUGAAAGAGGCACCCACGGGCAGUUGAACAACACGCUCUCAGGGGUUCAUCCUGUGAUUACAUCCCUGUAAUGAAGAGGCAAAAGGUGAGGAUGCGACAAUGGGAUAUUCGGCAAUGGAAUGAAAUCAGGAUUUGAUCUAAUGCAACAUGACUUGCUCACAGCACAGGUAGAAUAUCAAAUGAUCCAUGUGAAAU